CCUACGGGUGGCAGCAGUAGGGAAUAUUGCUCAAUGGGGGAAACCCUGAAGCAGCAACGCCGCGUGGAGGAUGAAGGUUUUCGGAUUGUAAACUCCUUUUAGUAGAGAAGAUAAUGACGGUAUCUAACGAAUAAGCACCGGCGAACUCCGUGCCAGCAGCCGCGGUAAUACGGAGGGUGCAAGCGUUACCCGGAUUCACUGGGCGUAAAGAGCGCGUAGACGGGAGAGCAAGUCUGAUGUGAAAUGCUGUGGCUUAACCAUAGAACUGCAUUGGAAACUGUUAGGCUAGAGUAUGGGAGAGGUAGGUGGAAUUCUUGGUGUAGCGGUAAAAUGCGUAGAGAUCAAGAGGAACACUCAUUGCGAAGGCGACCUGCUAGAACAUAACUGACGCUGCUGCGCGAAAGCGUGGGGAGCAAACAGGAUUAGAUACCCUAGUAGUC
rnacentral:rRNA from 1 species